AUGCACGCUGGCGGCGUGCCUCAUACAUGCAAGUCGAGCGAACGGACGAGAAGCUUGCUUCUCUGAUGUUAGCGGCGGACGGGUGAGUAACACGUGGAUAACCUACCUAUAAGACUGGGAUAACUUCGGGAAACCGGAGCUAAUACCGGAUAAUAUUUUGAACCGCAUGGUUCAAAAGUGAAAGACGGUCUUGCUGUCACUUAUAGAUGGAUCCGCGCUGCAUUAGCUAGUUGGUAAGGUAACGGCUUACCAAGGCAACGAUGCAUAGCCGACCUGAGAGGGUGAUCGGCCACACUGGAACUGAGACACGGUCCAGACUCCUACGGGAGGCAGCAGUGGGGAAUCUUCCGCAAUGGGCGAAAGCCUGACGGAGCAACGCCGCGUGAGUGAUGAAGGUCUUCGGAUCGUAAAACUCUGUUAUUAGGGAAGAACAUAUGUGUAAGUAACUGUGCACAUCUUGACGGUACCUAAUCAGAAAGCCACGGCUAACUACGUG
rnacentral:rRNA from 1 species